ACCCCAUUGAUAAUAAAGUCUGAUCCUCCAUAACACAAUGCAAUAUCUGAGGUACCCUUGAUAUAUCUAAGGAUCCUCUUCACAGCACCCCAAUGCUCUCU